AGAGUUUGAUCAUGGCUCAGAACGAACGCUGGCGGCAGGCCUAACACAUGCAAGUCGAACGAGAAGCCACCUUUCGGGUGGUGGACAGUGGCAGACGGGUGAGUAACGCGUGGGAACGUGCCUUUCGGUUCGGAAUAACCCAGGGAAACUUGGGCUAAUACCGGAUACGCCCUUCGGGGGAAAGAUUCAUUGCCGAAAGAUCGGCCCGCGUCGGAUUAGCUAGUUGGUGGGGUAAUGGCUCACCAAGGCGACGAUCCGUAGCUGGUCUGAGAGGAUGACCAGCCACACUGGGACUGAGACACGGCCCAGACUCCUACGGGAGGCAGCAGUGGGGAAUAUUGGACAAUGGGCGAAAGCCUGAUCCAGCCAUGCCGCGUGGGUGAAGAAGGCCUUAGGGUUGUAAACCCCUUUCAGCGGGGAAGAUAAUGACGGUACCCGCAGAAGAAGUCCCGGCUAACUCCGUGCCAGCAGCCGCGGUAAUACGGAGGGGACUAGCGUUGUUCGGAAUUACUGGGCGUAAAGCGCACGUAGGCGGAUUUGUAAGUCAGGGGUGAAAUCCCGGGGCUCAACCUCGGAACUGCCUUUGAUACUGGGUAACUAGAGUUUAGUAGAGGAGAGUGGAAUUUCCGGUGUAGCGGUGAAAUGCGUAGAUAUCGGAAGGAACACCAGUGGCGAAGGCGACUCUCUGGACUAAAACUGACGCUGAGGUACGAAAGCGUGGGUAGCAAACAGGAUUAGAUACCCUGGUAGUCCACGCCGUAAACGAUGUCAACUAGCCGUUGGGUCUUUAAAAAGACUUAGUGGCGCAGCUAACGCAAUAAGUUGACCGCCUGGGGAGUACGGCCGCAAGGUUAAAACUCAAAGGAAUUGACGG
rnacentral:rRNA from 1 species